AAAGUGCCUGUAAAUAAACCCUGAGUGGGCAACAUGAACGGCCGCAGACCAGAGAAAAUGAGAAUCCAGUUAAACAAGUGCAUGAAAUAUGCCCCUUAGUCCACCCAGCCUGCAACACAAAAGCACAGAACAGGCAGCUUCUAAACCACAGACAUUGACUUCCUUCCGUUCUGGAGGCCGGAAGUCCAAGAUGGAGGGUCCCGCAGAUUCCGUGUCUGAUUGUUGCAGCAGAUCCAACUGAAGGAUACGCCAACCACUUUAAUCAGACACAAAAGAACAGGCUGUCCUCAUCUGACCACCACCCACAACAACCAAACUUUAAUCAAACACAAAAGAACACGCUGUCCUCACCUGACCACCAGCCACAACAACCGAACUUUAAUCAGACACAAAAGAACAGGCUGUCACCUGACCACCACCCACAACAACCGAAGGGCAGGGUGAGUCCAUUUAGAGUCUCGAGAAUUUUAGACGUGCAUUCACUUUAAAGAGUCUUGCUCUGUCACCAGGCUGGAGUGCAGUGGUGCGAUCUCAGCUCACUGCAACCUCCACCUCCCAGGUUUAAGUAAUUCUCCUGCCUGAGCCUCCCGAGUAGCUGGGACUACAGGCGCAUGCCACCAUGUCCAGCUAAUUUUUGUGUUUUUAGUAGAGACAGGGUUCCACCACAUUGGCCAGGAUGGUCUCGAUCUCUUGACCUCAUGAUCCACCCACCCCAGCCUCCCAAAGUGCUGGGAUUACAGGUGUAAGCCACCAUGCCCAGCUCUGGUUUCAUUUCUCUUAGCAAUCUUUUCUUCAAUAUACUUUUUGCAUCUCUCACAUUUUGCUACGAGCAGCAAAAAGAAACCAGGCUCUUCCUUCAACAUUUUGCUUAGAAAUCUCCUCAGCUAAAUAUCCAAUUUUGUCCCCUACAGGUUAUACUUUCCACACAAGACACAAUUGCACCAAGUUCUCUACCACUUUGUGGCAAAGAUCAUCUCUCCUCCAUUUUCCAAUAGCAUGUUCCUAUUUCCAUCUGAGCCCUCCCCAGAAUCACCUUCAACAUCUGUAUGUCUACCAACUGUAUCUUCAGAACAAUUUAGUCUUCUUCUGACAUAAAUCUCAAAUCUCUCUCUGCCUCUAACCAUUACUCAGUUCCAAAGCCACCCUGGCAUUUUUAGGUAUUGGUCACAGCACUUCCUUUCUCAGAACCAAAAUCUCUCUUAGCCUGCUCAGGCUUUCAGAGCACAGGAACACAGACCAGGGGACUGAAAGCCACAGAAACCCACUGUCGUAGCGUUGUGAGGUCUAGAAGUCCAAAAUCAGAGUGUUGUCAGGGCCAAUCUAUGCCUUGUGCUGUAAGGGGGGCCCUCCCUUGCCUCUUGCUCCUCCUGGUCACCCCAGGCAUUCCUCACCUUGUUAAUGGGUCCUAAUCUCUGCCUCUGACUUCACAUGGAUUACUCCUGUGUGUGCAUCUGUCUCCAAAUGUCCCCAUUUCAUAAGGGUACUUCAUUAGGCAUUUCAUUAGGACUUGACCUAGUGAUUUCACUUUGAAUUGUUUGCUUAAGAUCACAUUUUGAGGUAGAGGGGGUUAGGCUUUCUACAUAUCUUUUUUAGAUACAAAUUCCAAAUUCAGACAAAAUUCAACCUAUGACAAAGUCAUGCUAUUACUUGCUAUUACAUACUCAACCUAUAACAAAGUCACACUAUUCACUCACUACCACAUACUCAGUAUAGCAAAGUCAUGGUAAUACUCACUACUAUAUGCUUGAUAUGACAAAGUCACGCUAAUACUCACUACUACAUACUUGGUAUACAAAGUCAUGCUAAUACUCACUACUACAUACUUGACCUAUGACAAAGUCACACUAUUACCACUGCCUAACCAACCUAUAAUGCAGUCACACUAUUACUCACUGCUACAUAUUCGACCUAUAACAAAGUCAUGGUAUUACUGCUGCAUAUCCGACCUAUAAAAAGUCACCCUAUUACUCACUGCUGCAUACUCAACCCCAGAUUUACAAUCAGAAGCCUCUGCUGGUGAAAAUAUGGAAGUUGAUACUGAAUGUCCCUUUCUUUGCCAUAAAACUGCCAUUACACAGAAGAGAGAAAUUACCAAGCAAUACCAACACAUUCGUUCUCCAGUAAAAUUAUUAAUUUCUUC
rnacentral:lncRNA from 1 species